GAUGAACGCUAGCGGCAGGCCUAAUACAUGCAAGUCGAACGAUAGUCUUGUCUUCGGAUGAGAUGAGAGUGGCGCACGGGUGAGUAACGCGUACACGACCUACCUUACAGAGGGGGAUAGCCUUGGGAAACUGGGAGUAAUCCGCCAUAGUGUAUAUGAUCUGCAUGGAUGGUAUACUAAAGCUUCGGCGCUGUAAGAUGGGUGUGCGUCUGAUUAGGUAGUUGGUAGGGUAACGGCCUACCAAGCCAACGAUCAGUAGGGGGCGUGAGACGCGUGGUCCCCCACACGGGUACUGAGACACGGACCCGACUCCUACGGGAGGCAGCAGUAAGGAAUAUUGGACAAUGGGCGGAA
rnacentral:rRNA from 1 species